rnacentral:rRNA from 1 species
AUUGAACGCUGGCGGCAUGCCUAACACAUGCAAGUCGAACGAGUGGCGCACGGGUGAGUAAUAUAUCGGGACGUGUCCUAUCGUGGGGGAUAACUGAUCGAAAGAUCAGCUAAUACCGCAUACGAUUGGAGCGGCCGAUGGGCGAUUAGCUAGUUGGUGAGGUAAAGGCUCACCAAGGCGACGAUCCGUAGCUGGUCUGAGAGGACGACCAGCCACACUGGGACUGAGACACGGCCCAGACUCCUACGGGAGGCAGCAGUGGGGAAUAUUGAACAAUGGGCGCAAGCCUGAUGCAGCCAUGCCGCGUGCAGGAAGAAGGUCUUCGGUUUGUAAAGUACUUUUAGCAGGGAGGCGUUACCUGAAGAAGAAGCACCGGCUAACUCCGUGCCAGCAGCCGCGGUAAUUC